rnacentral:lncRNA from 1 species
AGGACCUUUACCCACUGAACUAUCUUGAUGGCCCUAUUCAAAAUUUUUUUAUUACAUUUAUUUAUUUGUGUGUGUGGGUGCACAUAUAGCACAACUUGUGUGCUAAUUUUCUCAUUCUACCAUGUGGGUCUCAGGAAUUGAACUCAGGUUGUCUGCCUUGUUCUUUUACCCGCUAAGCCAUGUCACUAGUUUUAUUUUUAAAAUAAAAUGGGGGAGUAUUUAAAAUUGAUUUCACAUUUUAACCUAGUUUAAUAUUAAAACUGUGGCUCCUGAUUGCUGAGAUUAUAAGCAUGAAUUAACAUCACACUUAACCUAGGCUAACCUUGAACUCCAGUCUCUGCCUCAGACUCCUGAGUUCAGAGAUCAUAUCCCAGAUAAUGCUGCUGCUGCUGCUCUCCUUUUCCUCUUCCUCCUGUUCUUCCUCUUCCUCUCCAGUUUCUCUUCUCUUUCCUUCCUUCCUUUCUUCCUCCUUUGCUUUCUUCCUUCUUGCUGUUUCCUCCCCUCCCCUCUUCUUAUUUUGGUUUAUUUAUUUAUUUACUUUGGUUUUUCGAGACAGGGUUUCUCUGUGUAGCCCUGGCUGUCCUGGAACUCACUCUAUAGACCAGGCUGGCCUUGAAAAUCCACCUGCCUCUGCUACCCAAGUGCUGGGAUUAAAGGCAUGUGCCACCACCGCUCGGUGUGGUUUAUUUUUAAAAUGUGUGUAUUGACUGCUUUGUCUGAAUGUAUGUGCCUGGUGCUCUCAGAGGUCAAAAGAAGGUGUUAUAUUCCCCUGGAACUGGAGUUAUGAAUGGUUGUGAGUCAGCACGUGUAUGCCGGGGAUCAUCUAUGAUCAUUGAACAAGAUUUCCAGCCUCAAGAUAAUGCUUUUUUUUUUUUUUUUUUUUAAGCACAAACACGUUUAUUUACUAACCAAAGGGAUGAUCCUGGGUAAACCAAGUUUGACAUGAAGUUCCAUGUAAAGUGUUUGUGAUAAAGAGAACUCAACAGUCAUGAAAAAUAAAACCAAAGAAGUGAAACGGUUUGCUGUUUAUGACCACUAAUUGAAUUGAGCAUAUUCACUCCUACAGCUAACUCCUGUCCAGGAUGACGAGGAAGCCCUCAUUGCACCUUCUCAUAGACCCGAGUGCACCACAAUCAUCCUUCAGUUUUCUCAUUAUCAUGUUCUCCUUCCCUUCCCGUUGCUGGUGCUGGACCAGGCACCGUCUUUGAAGGUGCAGACCGUCUCAGUUUUUCUGCCAUCAGCUGUAGUUUCAUCAAACUUCUCUCCCAGGGUACAAGAGAACAGGGUCGUCUUCACUGUGCUCACGGUUUUGACGGUGAUGUUGUUGCCAUCACAAGUAAUGAUACAGUCUGGCUUGGCCAUGGCAGCCAUCUUCCUAAGAGCCAGUCCUACUCCUAGCUCUUUCGUGUACUCCUCAAAGCCGUGGCUUUCCAUCAGGCACCACUUCCCUUUGAGAUCCUUAAGGUUGGCCAUGGCAGGCGGGAGAGCACAAAAGCAGAAGAGAUGCGGUGGCGAGGGCGCUCAAGAUAAUGCAUCUUUGAAGUCUUUUUUUUUUUUUUUUUUGACACAGGUUUCAUUUAGUUGAGGCUGGCCUUGAGAUCAUAAUUCUCUUGUCUCUGCCUUCCAAAUGUUGGGAUUACAGACGUGUACUACUACACCUGUUUUUUUGUUUGUUUGUUUUUUUGUUUGUUUUUUCAGUUUUUUUGUUUUGUUUUGUUUUUUAAGAUUUAUUUAUUUAUUAUAUGUGAGUUGUAGCUGUCUUCAGACACUCCAGAAGAGAGGGAGUCAGAUCUCAUUAGGGAUGGUUGUGAGUCACCAUGUGGUUGCUGGGAUUUGAACUCAGGACCUUCGGAAGAGCAUUUGGGUACUCUUACCCACUUAGCCAGAUAUCUCAACAGCCCCCAAAUUUUUUAAUUUUUUUAAUUUUUGAGACAAGGGUUUCUCUGUAUAGCCCUGGCUGUCCUGGAACUCACUCUGUAGACCAGGCUGGCCUCGAACUCAGAAAUCCGCCUGCCUCUGACUCCCAAGUGAUGGGACUAAAGGCGUGCGCGCCACCACCACCGCCUUUCAGUUUGUUGAGAUAGGAUCUUGGAGACUUGGCUGACCUUUAACUUGCUGUUUAGAUAAGUUGCCCUCAAAUUUGUGGCAGUUCUCCUGCCUUAGUUUUCCGAGCAUUGAAAUUACAGAUAUGAGCCACCAUGCCUGGAUCAGUUUGAGAUUUUGUAUUGUUUUUUGAGAUAUGUAAACUUUGGCUGGCCUGAAACUCUGUAUAUCAGGCUGGCCUUGAACUCAGAGAUCUUUCUGCCUCCCAAGUGCUGAUAUUAAAGGUGUAUAUCACCGUGCUUGACUUUAGUUUGUUUUGAAAAAUUAAGGAAUUUUAUUUUAUUUAUGUGUAUUGGUAUUUUUGCCUACAUUUAUGGCACAACUUUUAUUUGUGGUGCCACUGGAGGCCAGGAGAUGACAUUAGAUUCCCUGGAAUUGGAGUUACAGGCUGUUAUGAGCUGCUGUGUAGGUGCUAGGAACUGUACCCAGGACUUUUGGAAGAGCAGCCAGUCCCCAUAAAUACUGAGAACUAUUUUUCUAGCUUCCAGUUUGAGAUUCCUAAGUGAAGUGCUAUGGUUUAAGUGACAGUGGUCAUCUGGUAUGUUUGCAGUGUUGGCAGGUUGAGACUGUAUGGAACCUUGUAAACCAUAGGCAUUUUAGAUUUUCUCUAAUGGGUUUCUAUUUUUUCCCAUUGUACUGUUUCCUGUAAUAAAAGCUAUCAUCUAGUUUAUAUCUUAAAAAUAGCACUUUCCUUCAAGGCCAGCCUGGUCUAUAGAGUGAGUUCCAGGACAGCCAGGGCUACACAGAGAAACCCUGUCUCG